rnacentral:rRNA from 1 species
AGAGUUUGAUCCUGGCUCAGGAUAAACGCUGGCGGCGUGCCUAACACAUGCAAGUCGAACGCGCUCAGCAAUGAGCGCGUGGCGGACGGGUGAGUAACACGUGGGUAUCUACCUUUCAGUGAGGAAUACCGGCGAGAAAUCGCCGACAAGACCGCAUAGGCUCUUUAGCGAGAGCAAAGCUCCUUUUCGGAGGGGCGCUG